rnacentral:rRNA from 1 species
CGGGACGGGUGAGUAAUGUCUGGGAAACUGCCCGAUGGAGGGGGAUAACUACUGGAAACGGUAGCUAAUACCGCAUAACGUCGCAAGACCAAAGAGGGGGACCUUCGGGCCUCUUGCCAUCAGAUGUGCCCAGAUGGGAUUAGCUAGUAGGUGGGGUAACGGCUCACCUAGGCGACGAUCCCUAGCUGGUCUGAGAGGAUGACCAGCCACACUGGAACUGAGACACGGUCCAG